rnacentral:rRNA from 1 species
ACGGGUGAGUAACACGUGGGAAUUUGCCCUAUGGUACGGAAUAACACAGAGAAAUUUGUGCUAAUACCGUAUGUGUCCUUCGGGAGAAAGAUUUAUCGCCAUAGGAUAAGCCCGCGUCCGAUUAGCUAGUUGGUGUGGUAAUGGCGCACCAAGGCGACGAUCGGUAGCUGGUCUGAGAGGAUGAUCAGCCACACUGGGACUGAGACACGGCCCAGACUCCUACGGGAGGCAGCAGUGGGGAAUAUUGGACAAUGGGCGCAAGCCUGAUCCAGCCAUGCCGCGUGUGUGAUGAAGGCCUUAGGGUUGUAAAGCACUUUCGCCUGCGAGGAUAAUGACGGUAGCAGGAUAAGAAGCCCCGGCUAACUUCGUGCCAGCAGCCGCGGUAAUACGAAGGGGGCUAGCGUUGUUCGGAAUCACUGGGCGUAAAGCGCACGUAGGCGGACUUUUAAGUCAGAGGUGAAAUCCUGGAGCUCAACUUCAGAACUGCCUUUGAUACUGGAAGUCUUGAGUCCGGUAGAGGUGAGUGGAACUGCUAGU